GGGGAUGCAUUGCAUCGACAAGAUUCGCACUUUAAAAACUGCAAGCCGUCGUUGAUUAUAAAGACGUAAAGCUUAAUCAAAAAUUAAAUGCUAACGCAUUUACAGCUAUGAGGGAGUAUCUCUCUCCUAGCGCUCGUCCAGCUUUGGCACUAGCUGCUUAAGCUUAAGAGCUGUUCUUAAUAUCUUUUCUCAGUGAGAUAUUCUGAGCAUAAACUUAGCUGAGAAAACUGUAGGGAAACUGGUUAGUGCCUUAUUGUAAUUAUAACCUCGGCUCUAUUCAUGGAUGUUUAUUUUCAAAGAAUAGAGUGAUCAAAAAAAUAAUAAACUAAGCUUGUAGAGGUUUAAAAAUGUUUUCUUGGACUCGGGAUCACAUCCCGACAUCUCCACAU
rnacentral:tmRNA from 1 species